rnacentral:rRNA from 1 species
AGUGAACGCUGGCGGCAGGCCUAACACAUGCAAGUCGUACGCUCCGCAAGGGGCGUGGCGUAAGGGUGAGUAAUGCGACGGUAACCAACCCCAAGGCCGGGUAUAGCCGCGGGAAACGUGCGGGUAAGUCCCCGGACGCGGUCACGAAGGGACGAUCCUUUUGUGAUCAAAGGUGCGAUUCCGCCUUGGGACGGGCCGUUGUGGUAUCACGGUAGUUGGUGGGGUGAUGGCCCACCAAGCCGACGACGCCUACC